GAUGAACGCUGGCGGCGUGCUUAACACAUGCAAGUCGAACGGUGAACACGGAGCUUGCUCUGUGGGAUCAGUGGCGAACGGGUGAGUAACACGUGAGCAACCUGCCCCUGACUCUGGGAUAAGCGCUGGAAACGGCGUCUAAUACUGGAUAUGUGACGUGACCGCAUGGUCUGCGUUUGGAAAGAUUUUUCGGUUGGGGAUGGGCUCGCGGCCUAUCAGCUUGUUGGUGAGGUAAUGGCUCACCAAGGCGUCGACGGGUAGCCGGCCUGAGAGGGUGACCGGCCACACUGGGACUGAGACACGGCCCAGACUCCUACGGGAGGCAGCAGUGGGGAAUAUUGCACAAUGGGCGCAAGCCUGAUGCAGCAACGCCGCGUGAGGGAUGACGGCCUUCGGGUUGUAAACCUCUUUUAGCAGGGAAGAAGCGAAAGUGACGGUACCUGCAGAAAAAGCGCCGACUAACUACGUG
rnacentral:rRNA from 1 species